rnacentral:misc_RNA from 1 species
GAUGAAGAACGUAGCGAAAUGCGAUACUUGGUGUGAAUUGCAGAAUCCCGUGAACCAUCAAGUUUUUGAACGCAAGUUACGCCCGAAGCCAUUAGGCCGAGGGCACGCCUGCCUGGGUGUCACACAUUGUUGCCCCAAUGCCAAUCGCCUCACUUUGUAGGUAUUUGCUUGGGGUGAAUGAUGGCCUCCCGUGAGCUCUGUCUCACGGUUGGUUGAAAAUCGAGUGCAUGGUGUCGGGUGUACCAUGAUGGAUGGUGGUUGAGUGAUGCUCGAGGCCAAUCAUGGGUAACUCCACCAGAAUUGUGCUCGGUGACCCACAUGCGUCCCUUGGAUGCUCCCUAAGGAGACCUCAGGUCAGGCGGGGCUAUCCGCUGAGUUUAAGCAUAUCAAUAAGCGGAGGA